rnacentral:lncRNA from 10 species
CCUGGGCAACAUAGUGAGACCUCAUCUCUAAAAAAAAAAAAAAAAAUUUAGCUGGGUGUGGUAGCGUGUGCCCAUAGUCCCAGCUACUCAGGAGGCUGAGGCUGGAAGAUCACUUGAGCCCAGGAGAUUGAGGCUGUAGUGAGCCAAGAUCACAUCACUGCACUCCAAUCUGGGUGACAAAGCAAGACCUUGUCUCAAAAAAAAAAAAGAAAAAAAGAAAAAAAAAAGACAUGUAAAAAGCACCUGGCAUUUAGUAAGCCCUCAAAACACCCUUGCCUGCCCCUUCAAGGACAUGCAAUAAAUUUAUGUGAGAAUCAGUACUAAAACCUGGAUCUGGGGACCCCCCUGCAACUCCCCUUCUGUCUCCUAAGUAAACCAAAAUGAACAGGCAGUGCAUUGAAAGGAGAGAGGGUCCUUAUGGCUCCAAGCCCACUCAGAAAGCACCAUCAGAACACAGCUUUCUGGUUUAUGUCAUCAAAUUUCAAAGCUGAAAAUAAGAAACAGAUGGUUAUUUCUCACGCUGAAGAGAGCUACGGUUUGAAGAAAUGAUGAAAAGCCCAGCUGAAGUUUUUCUCAUCUUCAAAUUUAAGUUUUGUCUCAUUUCCGAUGGUGUGUGUAGGUGUGUGUACAGGGCUCUUUGGGGUUAUAAUAUUUUACUAUUACUUUAGAACAGUUUACUCCACAAAGCUAGGGACAUUUACUUUGAUUUGAAGAAAGAUUUUAAAUCAUUAAUCCAUUACAGUUGCUCAGUUAAUACAGUUUGUAGUUAUUUACGCUGUGCCUGUGAGGCUUGUGUGCCUCAUAAUGUUGGAAGAGAAAUUUUUUCUUUUCCUGUCAAUACUAAAUAGGGUUCUGAGCAGCCCUUGAUUUUUUUUUCCACUUUUUUUUUUUUUUUUUCCGAGACAGAGUCUCACUUUGUUGUCCAAGCUGCAGUGCAGUGGUGUGAUCUCAGCUCACUGCAACCUCCACCUCCCAGGUUCAAGCGAUUCUCUGCCUCAGCCUCCCAAGUAGCUGGGAUUACAGGUGCCCACCACUAUGCCUGGCUAAUCUUACUUUUUUAUUAGAAACUAAAUUCCAACACUUUGAUACUAGUAUGGCCCUCUGUAGGUAGAAAGUGUGUUUCCCUUGUUAUACAAAUGUGAAACAAGAGUUAAGUCACCUGCCGUCAUGAUUAGUCUGCAAGGGAGAGGCAGAGCCCAAACUAGAGUGUGAAUGAAGCCUGUUGGGUCCCUUUUGUCAGAGUCAUUUCAGCACGCAUAGGGCCUUUUGUGCUGGGACUCAUGGCAGCUCCCCAUGGUCCCCCAAAUUAACUAGAAACUGUUUACCUUUGGCUAAGGGUGUUCCAUGUGAACUAAUACAGGUGGCCUUUCUCACUGAUCCCUUCAGACUCCUGGAGCUGCAGCCAGACUGAACCUCCCAACAUGUCCUAAGCCCAGCUGAAGGUUUUCUACCUCAGGAGCUUUUGCUGAUGCUGUUUCCUCUGCUAUAGCCCCCUUUCUUCCUCCUCUGAAUGUCCCAGUCCUAUGCAAAUUUCAGAGUCCAGUUCAGAUACCAGCUCCUCCAUGAAGCUUGGCUUAGUGGUUAAAAACAAGAGUCUCUGGGGACGGGCUGGGCUUCAGUGGUUCUGCACCUCUCUAACGAGUGAUUGGGGCAAGCCAUUUGUCACAUAAGUUUAGUUUCUUGAACUGAAAAAUGAAGACAGUAUUAAUUUCAGUCAUUGCUUCUCAAAUUUAGGGUGCACAUCAGUUCCCUGGUGAUGUUGUUAAAAUGCCAAAUCUGAUCCAGGAGGUACACGGUGGUGCCCAAUGUCUGCCACUUCUAACAAGCUCCUAGGUCCUGGGAGCACAUUUUGAGUUGUAAGGCUUGAAGAGAUCUUCAGGGAAUAGGAUGAAAUAAUGCAUGAAAAGCACUUAAUAUUGUGCCCCUCAAAUAGCAGUACUGAGUAAAAGCUACCUGCUGCUGUUUUUGUUGUCUUCCAUUAUUAUUGGUUUGUUUCCCUAGCUGGAGGUCACAUUUUUGUUCUUUAAACAAGGGCUUUCCCUUUUUUAUGGCACUGUGUUAGUCUGUGCUCACGCUGCCAUGAAGAAAUAUCUGAGACUAAUUUAUAAAGAAAAGAGGUUUAAUUGACUCACAGUUCCACAUGGCUGGGGAGGCCUCAGGAAACUUACAAUCAUGGUGAAAGGCACCUCUUCACAGGGUGGCAGGAGAGAGAUGAGUGCAAGCAGGGGAAAUUCCAGAGACUUAUAAAAGCAUCAGAUCUCAUGGGACUCACUAUCACGAGAACAGCAUGGGGGAAACCGUGCCCCAUGAUCCAAUUACCUCUACAUGGUCCCUCCCCUGACAAAUGGGGAUUGUGGGAAUUAUAAUUCAAGAUGAUAUUUUGGGCGGGGACACAGCCAAACCAUAUCAUUCUGCCCCUGGGCCCUCCCAAAUUUCAUGUCUUCAUAUUUCAAAACACUGUCAUUCCUUUCCAACAGUACCCCAAAGUCUUAACUCAUUCCAGCAUUAACCCAAAAGUCCAGGUCCAAAGUCUCAUCUGAGACAAGGCAAGUCCCUUCUGCCUAUGAGCCUGUAAAAUCAAAGGCAAGCUAGUUACUUCCUAAAUACAGUGGGGGUACAGACAUUGGGUAAAUAUACCCACUCCAAAUGGGAGAGAUUGGCCAAAGGGGCUACAGGCCCUAUGCAAGUCCAAAAUCCAAUAGGUUAGUUAUUAAACCUUAAAGUUCCAAAAUGAUCUCCUUUGACUGCAUGUCUCAUAUCCAGGUUAUGCUGAUGCAAAAGGUGGGCUCCCAGCCUUGGGCAGCUCCACCCCUGUGGCUUUG